CACUUGGAGUGGUGAAUCAAAAACUCUGGUUUUAAGUAACCUUUCCUACAGUACAACAGAAGAAACUCUUCAGGAAGUAUUUGAGAAGGCAACUUUUAUCAAAGUGCCCCAGAACCAAAAUGGAACAUCCAAAGGAUAUGCACUUACAGAAUUUGCUUCAUUUGAAGAUGCUAAAGAAACUUUAAAAUUCUGUAAUAAAAAAGAAACUAAGGGCAAAGCAAUCAGGCUUGGAUUGCAAGGACCGAGAGGAUCGCCUAAUGCAAGAAGCCAGAUAUCCAAAACUGUUUGGCAAAGAUCUGAGGAGACUACGGAAGAGAGAUUGAAGGAGUCAUUUGAUGGCUCUGUCCAGGCAAGGAUAGUCACUGACCAGGAGAAGGGCUCUUCCAAAGGGUUUGAUUUUGUAGAUUCCAACAGUGAGGAAGAUGCCAAAGCUGCCAAGGAGGCCAUGGAAGAUGGUGAAAUUGAUGGAAACAAAGUUACUUUGGACUGGGCUAAGAUGGUAGAGCGUCGUGUAGGGAUAGAGAGU